CUGAUAAGAUCAUCACUGGUUUCCAUCUUAUCAUCACCCCGCUUACGGAUCACGAUGUUAAGGAUACUGUCCAAACCUAAAAUUCGGUUUGAGUUCAUAUACUGUGUACGUUGGAGAGCCAAAUCAUCUUCUUUCAUUUUGAUCUCAUUUCUGGAAAUGCGUUCAAACAAUGACCUCAAGUACUCCUCAGGUAGAUCUUUUCCAUCGUCAAU
rnacentral:misc_RNA from 1 species